AGGAUUAACGCUGGCGGCGUGCCUAACACAUGCAAGUCGAACGAGGUAGCAAUACCUAGUGGCAGACGGGUGAGUAGCGCGUGGUCAACCUACCGUUGAGUGGGGGAUAACUAGCCGAAAGGUUAGCUAAUACCGCAUACGUCUCCGAGGGGCAUCCCUUGGUGAUAAAAGGAGCAAUCCGCUCGAUGACGGGACCGCGUCCCAUUAGCUAGUUGGUGGGGUAACGCCUACCAAGGCAUCGACGGGUA
rnacentral:rRNA from 1 species